rnacentral:rRNA from 1 species
GACGAACGCUGGCGGCGUGCCUAAUACAUGCAAGUCGAGCGCAGGAAGCUGACGGAACUCUUCGGAGGGAAGGCAGUGGAAUGAGCGGCAGACGGGUGAGUAACACGUAAGGAACCUGCCUCAAGGAUUGGGAUAACUCCGAGAAAUCGGAGCUAAUACCGGAUAGUUCAACGGACCGCAUGGUCCGCUGAUGAAAGGCGCUUCGGCGUCACCUUGAGAUGGCCUUGCGGUGCAUUAGCUAGUUGGUGGGGUAACGGCCCACCAAGGCGACGAUGCAUAGCCGACCUGAGAGGGUGAUCGGCCACACUGGGACUGAGACACGGCCCAGACUCCUACGGGAGGCAGCAGUAGGGAAUCUUCCACAAUGGACGAAAGUCUGAUGGAGCAACGCCGCGUGAGUGAUGAAGGUUUUCGGAUCGUAAAACCCUGUUGUAAGGGAAGAACACGUACGAGAGGUAAUGCUCGUACCUUGACGGUACCUUACGAGAAAGCCACGGCUAACUACGUGCCAGCAGCCGCGGUAA